UGGAUUACUUCCCAGGUAAAUAAGGUAAAUAAAGUGCUCCAAAAGGUGCCUCCCCCGUUGGACAUGGGGGGCUCCAAGCCCUUACUGGAUCCGUCCAUUCCAAGGCAAAAAACUGGACUCCAGGUGACAGAUAUACUUAUAGCAGCUUUUUUAUUAAAGUAUUCGUUAAAUUUGAAAAUAAAACAAGAUGGGAAUUUAAAAUAGCUGUAAGUCUUAUGCGUUUCGUCCCUAGUGCAUGGGACUUCCUCAGGGACCAACAUAUCGGCAGUGACAAGCGGUUAUCAUUAAACAGCAUAAAAAAAAAAAAAAAAUAGUGGACGGAUCCAGUAAGGGCUUGGAGCCCCCCAUGUCCAACGGGGGAGGCACCUUUUGGAGCACU